UAAACGGCGGCCGUAACUAUAACGGUCCUAAGGUAGCGAAAUUCCUUGUCGGGUAAGUUCCGACCCGCACGAAAGGCGUAACGAUUUGGGCACUGUCUCAACGAGAGACUCGGUGAAAUCAUAGUACCUGUGAAGAUGCAGGUUACCCGCGACAGGACGGAAAGACCCCGUGGAGCUUUACUGUAGCCUGAUAUUGAAAUUCGGCACAGCUUGUACAGGAUAGGUAGGAGCCUUUGAAACGUGAGCGCUAGCUUACGUGGAGGCGCUGGUGGGAUACUACCCUAGCUGUGUUGGCUUUCUAACCCGCACCACUUA
rnacentral:rRNA from 1 species